rnacentral:lncRNA from 1 species
AGGAAGAAAAUCAGAAAAUAUGUCCUCUGGAUUCCUGAGAAUGAGCCGACCCCUAAGCGCCCGAGUCGUCUCCAGCUAUUGGCGAGUCGACUCCAGUUUGGUCCGAGUCGACUCUAGGAUAAAGCAAGCACAUUAAUUCAAAUUUGGAACAGUGGCCGAGUCGUCUCCAGUAAAACACGAGUCGACUCCUGCAACAGGCGAGUUGACUCCUGAUCGCGCGAGUCGACUCCGAUCCCAACGGUAAUAUUGUCAGGAAGUGCAGACUGUGUCCAACGGCUCUAUUUUUGUCUCUAACGGCUAGAUUCUUGUUUCCACGCCAUCAAAAGCUAUAAAAACAAGAGGAGAGCUAGGGGAGAAGGUAUGGAAGUGGGAGAGAUCAUUUAGGAAAGAGAUU